rnacentral:rRNA from 1 species
GACGAACGCUGGCGGCGUGCUUAACACAUGCAAGUCGAGCGGUAAGGCUCCUUCGGGAGUACACGAGCGGCGAACGGGUGAGUAACACGUGAGCAAUCUGCCCUUCACAUCGGAAUAACCCCGGGAAACCGGGGCUAAUACCGGAUACGACCACCGUAGGCAUCUACUGGUGGUGGAAAGCUCCGGCGGUGGAGGAUGAGCUCGCGGCCUAUCAGCUAGUUGGUGAGGUAAAGGCCCACCAAGGCGACGACGGGUAGCCGGCCUGAGAGGGUGACCGGCCACACUGGGACUGAGACACGGCCCAGACUCCUACGGGAGGCAGCAGUGGGGAAUAUUGGACAAUGGGCGCAAGCCUGAUCCAGCCAUGCCGCGUGGGUGAAGAAGGCCUCGGUU